rnacentral:lncRNA from 1 species
ACACAGGGCAGGGAGGGGGGAAGGAGGGGGGGGAGGCUCGUGGCUCUCUCCGAGGGAGAGGAGAGGAGACGAGAGCUGGCUGUCUUGCGUGUCAAUCGUGAGGACUAAGAGAAGGAGAUUAGUCCGGGUGGGUGGGAUUGAAGAUGAUGGGGAGGAAGAGGAGAUAGAUAGAGGGAUCGACUGAUAGAGAGGGAGAGGGGGUUUGUUUGUUGUUUUGUAUUUGGCUCAUCAUCACUUUACUACUUACUACCGUACUUCUACAUCUACUAGUAUUUCUCUCUCUCUUCAUGCUUUCUCUCUCUUUUGUUGAGUAAACCUGGAUCCAGAGAGUGGCAUGUUGCUCUGGAUGGGAAGUGAGACAGUGGGGCGAGAGUAAGAGGAGGAUGGCGUACACACAGCUGGAACCCGUCAAUGAGGUAUGUACAGAAAAUGUAUUAAUUCAAUCUCCUAUUUUAUCGUAUCUGUUCGUUAAUGCUGAUUUAGGGGGGAAAAGAUUGUGUUUACAAAAUCAGAGUUGUAUCUUGACCUUUUCCUUCUGUCUUUUGGGCUGAUUUUUGUUUUUUAACCAUCAGCAUCCUGUCUCAAGUCAUUCAUUAUUCAGCCAACUAUGUGUUCUUCUGUCUCUUUGGAGUCAGCCAGUCUAAAUCAGAGAGAAGCAAGUUGUGUUGUAAAAAGACUAAUAUGUCUUUCAUGAAGGACCUCUAUCCAAACAUCUGGCCUCAGUUCUGGUCUAGCUAAUAACGG